GGCUCGCGCACCAGAAACCUUUGUGAACUUAUACUAUUUGUUGCCUCGGCGUAAGGCUGGGCCCCUCGGGGCCCCCCCAGUCUCUGGGGAGCAGGCCCGCCGGCGGCCAAGUAAACUCUUGUUUUUACCUGGAACUCUGAGUGAAAAAACAUAAAUGAAUCAAAACUUUCAACAACGGAUCUCUUGGUUCUGGCAUCGAUGAAGAACGCAGCGAAAUGCGAUAAGUAAUGUGAAUUGCAGAAUUCAGUGAAUCAUCGAAUCUUUGAACGCACAUUGCGCCCUCUGGUAUUCCGGAGGGCAUGCCUGUUCGAGCGUCAUUUCAACCCUCAAGCCUGGCUUGGUGAUGGGGCACUGCUUCUAACGAAGCAGGCCCUGAAAUAUAGUGGCGAGCUCGCCAGUACCCCGAGCGCAGUAGUUAAACCCUCGUUCUGGAAGGUGCUGGCGGUGCCCUGCCGUUAAAUCCCCAAUUCUGAAAAUUUGACCUCGGAUCAGUAGGAAUACCCGUUAACUUAAGCAUAUCAAUA
rnacentral:rRNA from 1 species